CUCGGACGUGCUGUGCUUGUGAUUUUCCGUUAAAUUCGAGUGUUCAUAAGUUUUACAAUGACGGGUAACUGGAAUCAACGUGCUUGUCCAUCCAGGAAGCGUACAAGAAGUACAAGAGACGGUCACGGGGAACAUACCCAGGAGCGUCAUCAUCGUCGCCCCAGGAACACUCGGGAGCGAGAUCGCGACCAAGCCGCUUUGGCGCUGGCGGACCUCGCCGUCGCCACCGGCUGUGAGCCCACGACGUCGCAAGUGGACAUUCUGACUUCAGCGGUCGACGUCAUCCACACUUUACAAGGAAACGAAGCAUCUGCCACUGAGGAGAUUGAAGAGUUGUUACUGCGGAAUGAAUUGUUGAAGAUGCAAAUGGCAGCUAUGAGGCAACGACUGGAGGAAUAUCGAGCAGCAUCGUCACUUGAAUCCAAUGAGCCUGCAGCAGAGUCCAAUGAAGAUCCAUCUGGAACUACACACGUGUGCGAUGACACCUGCAGGAGAGCACAUUAUGUGAAUUCAAUAUGUAUGGCGGGAUGUCAGCCUUCCAAGCCAAACAGACCACCAAAUUUUUGAAAACUGGCGUCAACAGGCAUUGUUAGACCAUGACUAUUGCUAGUCAUGUGGGAACUGCCUCUGCUACUUCGAUCACUAUUGAAUCAGGUACCUACUCCGUCUGUUGGAAAC